rnacentral:rRNA from 1 species
UGCGAGUUGUACGUUUACCGUAGCGAACUGCUCAGUAACACGUGGCCAAACUACCCUGUGGAUCCGGAUAACCUCGGGAAACUGAGGCUAAUCCGGAAUAGCGCUUCCGAGCUGGAAUGCCGGGAGCGUGAAAUGCUCCGGCGCCGCAGGAUGUGGCUGCGGCCGAUUAGGUAGACGGUGGGGUAACGGCCCACCGUGCCGAUAAUCGGUACGGGUUGUGAGAGCAAGAGCCCGGAGACGGACUCUGAGACACGAGUCCGGGCCCUACGGGGCGCAGCAGGCGCGAAACCUUUACACUGCACGCCAGUGCGAUAAGGGGACACCGAGUGCGAGGGCAUAGAGCCCUCGCUUUUCUGGACUGUAGGGAGGUCCAGGAAUAAGGGCUGGGCAAGACCGGUGCCAGCCGCCGCGGUAACACCGGCAGCCCAAGUGAUGGCCGAUAUUAUUGGGCCUAAAGCGUCCGUAGCUUGCCGAGUAAGUCCGUCGGGAAAUCCACUCGCCCAACGAGUGGGCGUCCGGCGGAAACUGUUCGGCUUGGGACCGGAAGACCCAGGGGGUACGUCCGGGGUAGGAGUGAAAUCCCGUAAUCCCGGACGGACCACCGGUGGCGAAAGCGCCCUGGGAAGACGGAUCCGACAGUGAGGGACGAAAGCUAGGGUCUCGAACCGGAUUAGAUACCCGGGUAGUCCUAGCCGUAAACGAUGUCGC